AGUGGAUGGUUGGUUGAAUAGUAUAAUCUAACGGCUGGAAAUGAUCUACCCGUAGAAAAUUCGAUAAUGUCAAGAGAUUGAUAAUAUCAAUAGUAUAGUAGUCGGUCUCUCUCUCUCUCUCUCUCUCUCUCUCUCUCUUUCAUUCUCUCAUUCUCUCUCUCUCUAUAUAUAUAGAAUUAGGCUACUAUACUAUCUAUAGUACCAGAGCUCCGGUACUAUAGUCUUGUUUUCGAUCUUAGGGUGUUUAAAUUAACGAUCCACACCGUUAAAUAUGAUUUAGGGUAUAUAAAGUUCUUAGGAAUAAAAUUUUAGUUUUUUUCGACAUCGUUUACUUAGUAAAUAAAUUAUGUCAAAAUGGACGGUGGAAAUUGAAUAAUCUUUAAAAUUUGAGCAUAGGACUUUUAAAUUCAAGAUCAAGAAUGUUAACCUUAAUCUAGAUAGUUUAAAGUAUUUUCUAUCAAAAUUUGAAGAAAUUUAAAUUCUUCUACACCGUUAAACUCCAAACUCGCCAUAGUAGCCAUUGAAAAUUAACAAUUUUGAAAUGAUUUGAUCAUAAAGUAAACUAUAUUGAAAAAAUAUAAAAUUUUAUUUCUAAAAACUUUAAAUACCCUAGAUCAGUCUUAACGGUGUGGAUCGUUGAUUUGAACACCCUAAGAUCGAAAACGAGAUUGUAGUACCGGAGCCCCGAGACUAUUGAUAGUAUAGAAGACUAGCUCUAUAUAUAUAUAUAUAUAUGGUUAAUUUCUUAC
rnacentral:lncRNA from 1 species